rnacentral:sRNA from 1 species
AUGGCGGGUAAAACGAUUGAGAUAGGAC